rnacentral:rRNA from 1 species
AUUGAACGCUGGCGGCAUGCCUUACACAUGCAAGUCGAACGGCAGCACGGGGCAACCUGGUGGCGAGUGGCGAACGGGUGAGUAAUGCAUCGGAACGUACCUUUCAGUGGGGGAUAACGUAGCGAAAGUUACGCUAAUACCGCAUAUUCUGUGAGCAGGAAAGCAGGGGAUCGCAAGACCUUGCGCUGAUUGAGCGGCCGAUGUCAGAUUAGCUAGUUGGGGAGGUAAAGGCUCACCAAGGCUACGAUCUGUAGCGGGUCUGAGAGGAUGAUCCGCCACACUGGACCUGAGACACGGUCCAGACUCCUACGGGAGGCAGCAGUGGGGAAUUUUGGACAAUGGGGGCAACCCUGAUCCAGCCAUGCCGCGUGAGUGAAGAAGGCCUUCGGGUUGUAAAGCUCUUUCGGCCGGGAAGAAAUCGCACGGGCUAAUACCUUGUGUGGAUGACGGUACCGGAAUAAGAAGCACCGGCUAACUACGUGCCAGCCGCCGCAGUAAGAC